rnacentral:lncRNA from 1 species
AUCAGGAGUCAGCCUAAGUCCUAUCAUUUUUCUCUUCUAUCUUAUCACUAUCUCUUCUUGGAGGGCCUCGGAUGUGUCUGGCCACUUCCUGCCAGGGCCAUUCCCUGAUGCUGCCAACCUUUCCCAGAAAAGGAGUGGCUCCUAGAAAGACAAGGCCUACCGAGAAAUGCAGAGGGGCAGGAAGUGAGCCAUUUCGAGGGCACUCCUGUGUCACCCUGUGCUGUUGGAGUCGCCGAGGAUACAGUGUACAGGUAGCGGGAUAGCCGGUUGCCAGCACAGGCUGGGUUGAGAAACCUCCAAGGUUGACACUGCUGUUCAGGUGAAGGAGAGUUCAGAGUCUCAGAGAGCAGCAGCAGCUUGUGCUUCUGGGAAAAUGGAAGGAUGACUCCCAGGCAGCCGAUCCUGCCACUCCGUAAAAUGGAAGAACCUUGGCUCCCCGUGUGAAUUCUCUUUGUGAUUUGGAAGACAAAUACCUCUGCUGAGUUGUCUAUGAACAGGUACUGCAGAUGGUUGGACCCUGGUUCUUACAGGCUGUGCUGGAAGUGAGGGAAGUGAUUUCACUCUCGUUCAGCCCUCCUAAGUGGUUAGGUAAGGGUGGGCUCUUGGAAGAUAAUGAAUGAUGUGCAGUAUAAGUAACUCUGAGGGACAGUAGGGGUGGUAGGUUACCAUGUUAGGUCUCACUGUGAAUAGAUAAUGUAUUAUAUAAAGUUGUAUAAAGUCAUUGUGCAACUUGGAGAUGUAUCACCAUCCCUUUGGCUGUAAGGCAGUGCUGAAUACUUUUUCUUAGGGAAUCCCAGGCAAUAGGGAAUUCCUCAGAAUCUCUUCUCAUCUUGAUAUUGGAAUCCAAGGGCUACUUUAAUAAGAUCAAAGGACUUCAAGGGAAGCAAGAAAAAGAGGGUACCCAAAUACCUUCCAGAGUGUUUUGCUCCUCUUGAGAAUUCUAGAUAAUGAUGCAUGACCCACUCCUUUGUUCAGAGAUGUCAGCCUGUGAAUCAGAGGCUAAAGAUCCCU